UGUAAGCGUAUACCAAAGUUGUUGCAGUUAAAACGCUCGUAGUCGGAAUUUGGCAGUUCCGGAUGUGUGCACGUCGUGUGCGCACUUCGCGGGGAUUGCUUUUGUGGUCUUGCGUAGGAUGAGGCACUUUUAUUAGUGAACGUCCUCACGCAACCACUUUUUACUGUGAGAAAAUCAGAGUGCUCAAAGCAGGCAUUUGCCGUGAAUGUAUUAGCAUGGAAUAAUAGAAUAGGACUUGGUUCUAUUUUGUUGGUUUGUUGGGACUGAGUAAUGAUUAAGAGGGACAGUUGGGGGCAUUUGUAUUUCGGUGCUAGAGGUGAAAUUCUUAGAUUACCGAAAGACAAACUGCUGCGAAAGCGUCUGCCAAGGAUGUUUUCAUUUA
rnacentral:rRNA from 1 species